CAAAUUAGAGCUUGAGGUAAAGUAUUUCAUUUACAUUGAAAAGAUAAUAAUAAUUAUAUUUAAUUUGA
rnacentral:tRNA from 1 species